rnacentral:rRNA from 1 species
UACAGGGGGUGCAAACGUUGCUCGGAAUUAUUGGGCGUAAAGCGCGCGUAGGCGGCUACUUAAGUCGGAUGUGAAAGCCCUUGGCUCAACUGAGGAAGUGCACCCGAAACUGAGUGGCUUGAGUACUAAAGAGGGUCGCGGAAUUCCCGGUGUAGAGGUGAAAUUCGUAGAUAUCAGGAGGAACACCAAUUGCGAAGGCAGCUCGCUGGGACGUUACUGACGCUGAGACGCGAAAGCGUGGGGAGCAAACAGG